AGAAAAGGCUCUAAACUCUUUGUUAUGACUAUUCACUCAUGUUGCUGCAUGUUCCUUCUUCCUUUUGACAUUACAAUCACUUAUAGACAUAAUUUUAAUAAGCUCACCACAAGAACCAGCAUGAAACUAUCAAAUAACAGAAUAAGUAGACAAUUAUG